rnacentral:rRNA from 1 species
AUCGAACGCUGGCGGCAGGCUUAACACAUGCAAGUCGAGCGAGCGGCGGACGGGUGAGCAAUGGCUGGGAAACUGCCUGAUGGAGGGGGAUAACUACUGGAAACGGUAGCUAAUACCGCAUACCAUCAGAUGUGUCCAGAUGGGAUUAGCUAGUAGGUGGGGUAAUGGCUCACCUAGGCGACGAUCCCUAGCUGGUCUGAGAGGAUGACCCGCCACACUGGAACUGAGCCACGGUCCAGACUCCGACGGAAGGCAGCAGUGGGGAAUAUUGCGCAAUGUGCGCAAGCCUGAUGCAGCCAUGCCGCGUGUGUGAAGAAGGCCUUCGGGUUGUAAAGCACUUUCAGCGAGGAGGCGUUACUCGCAGAAGAAGCACCGGCUAACUCCGUGCCAGCAGCCGCGGUAAUUC